ACAGCAGCCGCCGCGGUAAUACAGAGGUCUCAAGCGUUGUUCGGAUUCAUUGGGCGUAAAGGGUGCGUAGGUGGCGGUGUAAGUCUAACGUGAAAUCUCGGGGCUCAACCUCGAAAUUGCGUCGGAUACUGCAUUGCUAGAGGAUUGUAGAGGAGAGUGGAAUUCAUGGUGUAGCAGUGAAAUGCGUAGAUAUCAUGAGGAGGACCAGUUGCGAAGGCGACUCUCUGGGCAAUUCCUGACACUGAGGCACGAAGGCUAGGGGAGCAAACGGGAUUAGAUACCCCAGUAGUCCCUGUCUCUUAUAC
rnacentral:rRNA from 1 species